rnacentral:rRNA from 1 species
AUUGAACGCUGGCGGCAGGCCUAACACAUGCAAGUCGAGCGGAUGAGGGAAGCUUACUUCCUGAUUUAGCGGCGGACGGGUGAGUAAUGCCUAGGAAUCUGCCUAUUAGUGGGGGAUAACGUUCCGAAAGGAACGCUAAUACCGCAUACGUCCUACGAGAGAAAGUGGGGGAUCUUCGGACCUCACGCUAAUAGAUGAGCCUAGGUCGGAUUAGCUAGUUGGUGAGGUAACGGCUCACCAAGGCGACGAUCCGUAGCUGGUCUGAGAGGAUGAUCAGCCACACUGGAACUGAGACACGGUCCAGACUCCUACGGGAGGCAGCAGUGGGGAAUAUUGGACAAUGGGCGAAAGCCUGAUCCAGCCAUGCCGCGUGUGUGAAGAAGGUCUUCGGAUUGUAAAGCACUUUAAGUUGGGAGGAAGGGCUGUAAGCUAAUAUCUUGCAGCUUUGACGUUACCAACAGAAUAAGCACCGGCUAACUCUGUGCCAGCCGCCGCCGUAAAAC